rnacentral:tRNA from 1 species
CGGAGCGUGGCGCAGUCCGGUAGCGCACUUGACUGGGGGUCAAGGGGUCGUGAGUUCAAAUCUCGCCGCUCCGA